UGCAGUCGAACGGACCCUUCGGGGUUAGUGGCGGACGGGUGAGUAACACGUGGGAACGUGCCUUUAGGUUCGGAAUAGCUCCUGGAAACGGGUGGUAAUGCCGAAUGUGCCCUUCGGGGGAAAGAUUUAUCGCCUUUAGAGCGGCCCGCGUCUGAUUAGCUAGUUGGUGGGGUAAUGGCCCACCAAGGCUACGAUCAGUAGCUGGUCUGAGAGGAUGACCAGCCACAUUGGGACUGAGACACGGCCCAAACUCCUACGGGAGGCAGCAGUGGGGAAUCUUGCGCAAUGGGCGAAAGCCUGACGCAGCCAUGCCGCGUGUAUGAUGAAGGUCUUAGGAUUGUAAAAUACUUUCACCGGUGAAGAUAAUGACUGUAGCCGGAGAAGAAGCCCCGGCUAACUUCGUGCCAGCAGCCGCGGUAAUACGAAGGGGGCUAGCGUUGCUCGGAAUUACUGGGCGUAAAGGGAGCGUAGGCGGACAUUUAAGUCAGAGGUGAAAUCCCGGAGCUUAACUUCGGAACUGCCUUUGAUACUGGGUGUCUUGAGUGUGAGAGAGGUAUGUGGAACUCCGAGUGUAGAGGUGAAAUUCGUAGAUAUUCGGAAGAACACCAGUGGCGAAGGCGACAUACUGGCUCAUUACUGACGCUGAGGCUCGAAAGCGUGGGGAGCAAACAGGA
rnacentral:rRNA from 1 species